AUAUAUAGGUAUAAAAAGAUAAAAGAUUCCUAGCUAUAAAAUAGUUUUGUAAAAUAUAAGAAAAAAGAUUGCAGAUUACUGCAGUUUAUGUAUUAAAAAAGAAUGACAUAAUACCAUGACAUUGAUUAUUGUGAUUUGAAAUUGAUGUAUUAAGGGAAUGGCUAAAUAAUUACAAAAAUAAGGUCCAUUUGUGUGUAAAAUUUCUGUAAAAAUACUGACAUUAUUUUCAAAUUUGUUUAAAAAGUGCAUUAAAGAUAUCAUAGAUAGUUUUGUUUGGUUAUGAAAGGUGCAGAAGAAAAUCUAGUCUAGUGUUUAAAUUGAGAUUCAUCAUAAUAAGUAUUAAAUGUCAUCAAUUGGAGACUCCAAAUAUUAUUUUAUUUUCAAUAUGGGGAGGUCAAACCCCAAGAUUAUUCCUCCUUUCAUCAUUACUUCAUUUAUCUUUUAUGUAUUUAUUUGUCCUGUGGAAAUUGACAAAUUAUUGUCAAUACAUGUACAUUGUUUGCACAAUACAUAAGCUACCUAAUAUGUUUUAUCACAUGAUUGCACUACCAAAGAGAUCUGAAAAAUUGACACAGUAUGUUAUAAAUAAGCAUCCCAAGAAUUUUCUAUCAGUGAUUAGAAAUUUGUUAUGAAUUAACUUUUUUUCAUAAUUUAAAUAACUUGUCAGCAUUAAAAUUUAAAAUGAAUAUUAUUCAAAGAAUAACUAAAUGUUUUUUCUAUGAAGAAAUAACAUAAAAAAAUGUGCACACGACAUAACUUGUGUAGCAGGUUAUUUAUAACUGUGCACCACAAUUUUUAGGUUACUUCCAAAAGACAGAAAAAUCAUUACAGUCAUUCCUUAUAUUUUAAUUCCAAAAAUUUGUAAAUCAUGAUAAAAACGUUGACUAAGGUCACGUGACAAAAUUAUGUCCAUGAGCUGAUAGACAAAACACUUUCAGCCAAUCAGACAUGUUACAUCCAAAACUACAUUAUUGUGUUAAAUCCAGCCUUUGAGGUUAUGUAUGAUUCUAUAUAAGCCCAUUGAUAAAAAAUAUUCACCAUUCUUUCAAAAUUGUCUAGGAAAAUUAAUAAGACUGAGCUCAUUUUCUUGUUGCAUCAAUUCAUGAAUACUUGAAGACCCAUUAGUGGCCUUGGGCUUUUUUCUGCUCUUUGAUCAGGCUGUAGUCUCUUUGAAACAUUCCCUAUUUCCCAUUUUCAAUUUUAUUUAUUUAUUUAAAUUGAGUCUGAUGAAUAAUUUAAAAUUGUUGAAAAUUUUGAUUACAGGUUAAGAACAGAAAUAUUUUAUUAUUAACAUAUUGUACUAUAAGAAGGAAAGUAUCCAAUGUGUACCAGUAAUGAGUUAAAUACAAUUAAGUCUUAUCGUAUAAAUUUAUUUUUAAAUACAACAUGAACUGGUACUCAGUAAUUUAGGCCACAAAUUCUUUUUUCUUGCAUAUUUUAUUUUUAAAUACAUGCAAUGUAAUGAUGGUUACUUCACAUCAUAACUAAAAUAUCUCAUUUAGUAACAAAAUGUAUACAAUUUACUUGAGUUUACAUGUGAAAACUUUUUGCAUAACGAUUUUCUACUUGCAAAUCAGACCUAACACACAUAUUAUACAUAUAAUGCAUUUGAAAUGGCCAAUAGUAAUGAUUGUUUGUGUUAGAGUUAUUUUUAAAUAUUUUUUUCUUUGGCAAUCUAGAGACAUUCCAACUUCAAGCACCCACUACAUGUGAAUUAUAUGCAUGUCUAGUAAUAUGUCACACAAGUAAAGCAUAAAAGUAAUAUAGAAAUUAUCAAAUUCUCUAUCUACAGAAUAAAGUGUUGAAAAAGUUCAUGACAAUUGUUAUAAAUUACAGGUACAUGGAUGAUGAAUUGUGCUGUGACAAGACUUUUUCUGAAGGUUGUAUACAGUGGUAUUAAAGUAUUUGUAUUCGUUAUAUUCAAAAAUGUACAAAUUAUUGUUGAUUAUAUGCUAGUUGAGAACAAUAAAAAGAAAUAUGUAUACCAGUAUUUGCUGUAAUACAUAUAAAAAAA
rnacentral:lncRNA from 1 species